UACGGGGGGAGCAAGCGUUGUUCGGAUUUACUGGGCGUAAAGCGCGCGUAGGCGGAGCGUUAAGUCCGGUCUGAAAGCCCCCGGCUCAACCGGGGAAGGUGGCUGGAAACUGGCGCACUGGAGGGCGGCAGAGGCGUGUGGAAUUCCUGGUGUAGCGGUGAAAUGCGUAGAUAUUGGGAAGAACACCUGAGGCGAAGGCGGGUUGCUGGGCCGACACUGACGCUGAGGCGCGAAAGCCAGGGGAGCAAACGGG
rnacentral:rRNA from 1 species